rnacentral:rRNA from 1 species
UUGAUCCUGGCUCAGGACGAACGCUGGCGGCGUGCUUAACACAUGCAAGUCGAGCGAUGAAGCACCUUCGGGUGUGAAUUAGCGGCGAACGGGUGAGGAACACGUGAGAAAUCUGCCUUCAACACUGGGAUAACUCCGGGAAACCGGGGCUAAUACCGGAUAUGAAAUCUGCGGGCAUCCGCGGAUUUGGAAAGUUUUUCGGUUGAAGAUGAUCUCGCGGCCUAUCAGCUUGUUGGUGAGGUAAUGGCUCACCAAGGCGACGACGGGUAGCCGGCCUGAGAGGGCGACCGGCCACACUGGGACUGAGACACGGCCCAGACUCCUACGGGAGGCAGCAGUGGGGAAUAUUGGGCAAUGGAGGAAACUCUGACCCAGCGACGCCGCGUGCGGGAUGAAGGCCUUCGGGUUGUAAACCGCUUUCAGCAGGGAAGAAGCGAAAGUGACGGUACCUGAAGAAGAAGCACCGGCUAACUAUGUGCCAGCAGCCGCGGUAAUACAUAGGGUGCAAGCGUUGUCCGGAAUUAUUGGGCGUAAAGAGCUCGUAGGUGGUUCGUCACGUCGGAUGUGAAACUCUGGGGCUUAACCCCAGACCUGCAUUCGAUACGGGCGAGCUUGAGUAUGGUAGGGGAGUCUGGAAUUCCUGGUGUAGCGGUGGAAUGCGCAGAUAUCAGGAGGAACACCAAUGGCGAAGGCAGGACUCUGGGCCAUUACUGACACUGAGGAGCGAAAGCGUGGGGAGCGAACAGGAUUAGAUACCCUGGUAGUCCACGCCGUAAACGGUGGGCACUAGUUGUGGGGACCUUCCACGGUCUCUGCGACGCAGCUAACGCAUUAAGUGCCCCGCCUGGGGAGUACGAUCGCAAGAUUAAAACUCAAAGGAAUU